GCCAUUACCUAUGUUACAGAUGGUCAGGAAUUGGAGCCAGGCGUGUCGUGAGCUAUUAACUAUUUUACCGAUGGUCAGGAGUUGGAAUCAGGCAAAUCAUGCACCAUUACCUAUGUUACAGAUGGUCAGGAGUUGGAGACAGACGGGUUGUGCCCAUUACCUAUGUUACAAAUGGUCACGAGUUGGAGUCAGGCAAGUCAUGACCAUUAUCUAUUUUACAGAUACAGAUUUAUCUGUCUAUAUCCAGAUGGUAAUUAGAGUCUGUAAGCAGGGGAGAAUGUGGCUUAGCCAAGAGCGCAAAUUGCAUCACUGCGGUCCACGUUUGGAUAGAUAUGCACCGACAAUGGAAUAAAUAUCCAUAUUUAACAGCAGAAAAGGGCGAGUCUUAGGUGCCAGAAUUGUGUUUUUUGUCAAGUAGCUCGCAGAAGGUUAAC